GACGAACGCUGGCGGCGUGCUUAACACAUGCAAGUCGAACGGAAAGGCCCAGCUUGCUGGGUACUCGAGUGGCGAACGGGUGAGUAACACGUGGGUGAUCUGCCCUGGACUCUGGGAUAAGCCUGGGAAACUGGGUCUAAUACCGGAUAUGACCUUACAUCGCAUGGUGUUUGGUGGAAAGCUUUUGCGGUUCAGGAUGGGCCCGCGGCCUAUCAGCUUGUUGGUGGGGUAAUGGCCUACCAAGGCGACGACGGGUAGCCGACCUGAGAGGGUGAUCGGCCACACGGGGACUGAGACACGGCCCAGACUCCUACGGGAGGCAGCAGUGGGGAAUAUUGCACAAUGGGCGCAAGCCUGAUGCAGCGACGCCGCGUGAGGGAGGACGGCCUUCGGGUUGUAAACCUCUUUCACCAGGGACGAAGCGUGAGUGACGGUACCUGGAGAAGAAGCACCGGCCAACUACGU
rnacentral:rRNA from 1 species